rnacentral:rRNA from 1 species
CCUUGUACACACCGCCCGUCACACCAUGGGAGCGGGUUCUGCCAGAAGUAGUUAGCUUAACCGCAAGGAGGGCGAUUACCACGGCAGGGUUCGUGACUGGGGUGAAGUCGUAACAAGGUUACC